UACGGAGGGUGCGAGCGUUUAUCGGAAUUACUGGGCGUAAAGCGCGCGUAGGCGGCUUGUUAAGUCGGAUGUGAAAUCCCCGGGCUCAACCUGGGAACUGCAUCCGAUACUGGCGAGCUGGAGUGCGAUAGAGGGGGGUAGAAUUCCUAGUGUAGCGGUGAAAUGCGUAGAUAUUAGGAGGAAUACCGGUGGCGAAGGCGGCCCCCUGGAUCGACACUGACGCUGAGGUGCGAAAGCGUGGGUAGCAAACAGG
rnacentral:rRNA from 2 species